GACGAACGCUGGCGGCGUGCCUAAUACAUGCAAGUCGAGCGAAGUUUUUCUGGUGCUUGCACUAGAAAAACUUAGCGGCGAACGGGUGAGUAACACGUAAAGAACCUGCCUCAUAGACUGGGACAACUAUUGGAAACGAUAGCUAAUACCGGAUAACAGCAUUAACUGCAUGGUUGAUGUUUAAAAGUUGGUUUUGCUAACACUAUGAGAUGGCUUUGCGGUGCAUUAGCUAGUUGGUGGGGUAAAGGCCUACCAAGGCGACGAUGCAUAGCCGACCUGAGAGGGUGAUCGGCCACACUGGGACUGAGACACGGCCCAGACUCCUACGGGAGGCAGCAGUAGGGAAUCUUCCGCAAAGGGCGAAAGCCUGACGGAGCAACGCCGCGUGAGUGAAGAAGGAUUUCGGUUCAUAAAGCUCUGUUGUUAGGGAAGAAUGAUUGUGUAGUAACUAUACACAGUAGAGACGGUACCUAACCAGAAAGCCACGGCUAACUACGUG
rnacentral:rRNA from 1 species